rnacentral:rRNA from 1 species
GGAUGCAACAUUUCAACAACGGAUCUCUGGGCUCUCGCAUCGAUGAAGAACGCAGCGAAAUGCGAUAAGUAAUGUGAAUUGCAGAUUUUCAGUGAAUCAUCGAAUCUUUGAACGCACCUUGCGCUCCUUGGUAUUCCGAGGAGCAUGCCUGUUUGAGUGUCAUUAAAUUCUCAACUCCAAGGGUUUCACGACCUUUCGGAGAUUGGACUUGGAGGUGCUGGCCGCAUAUUGGUCGGCUCCUCUCAAAUGCAUCAGCGGAAUUCAACCUUUGGCUUCCGGAUGUCAGUGUGAUAAUCAUGUUGCGCUGUCGUUUGAUCCCUCAGAGUCCGCUUAUAAUGGUCUUCGGACAAAAUCAUCAUCAAAUUUGACCUCAAAUCAGGUAGGACUACCCGCUGAACUUAAGCAUAUCAAUAAGCGGAGAAAGGCGAUCGUAUCAGUUAA